rnacentral:rRNA from 1 species
UGCGCCUUGCCAGCCCGCUCAGAAACUUAAAGGAAUUGACGGGGACCGCACAAGCAGCGGAGCGUGUGGUUUAAUUCGAUGCUACACGAAGAACCUUACCAGGGUUUGACAUGCAAGUGGUAGUGAUCUGAAAAGUGAACGACCCUUCGGGGAGCUUGCACAGGUGCUGCAUGGCUGUCGUCAGCUCGUGUCGUGAGAUGUUGGGUUAAGUCCCGCAACGAGCGCAACCCUCGCCGUGUGUUAUACGUGUCACGCGGGACCGCCGGUCUUAAGCCGGAGGAAGGUGGGGAUGACGUCAAGUCAGCAUGGCCUUUAUAUCCUGGGCUACACACACGCUACAAUGGCCAACACAAUAGGUUGCUAAGCCGCGAGGUGGCGCCAAUCCAUAAAGUUGGUCUCAGUUCAGAUUGUAGGCUGCAACCCGCCUGCAUGAAGAUGGAGUUGCUAGUAACCGCAGGUCAGCUAUACUGCGGUGAAUACGUUCCCGGGGCUU